rnacentral:lncRNA from 10 species
AAAAAGUGUAUUUCUGUAUAUUGCCACAGAACUGGUCAGUAAGCACUCAAAUUGGCUUUCUCACCUUAUUAAUGAAUGAUCAAGUGAUACGGUUUGGGUGUGUUCCCACCCAAAUCUCAUCUUGAAUUGUAGUUCCCAUAAUCCCCACGUGUUGUGGGAUGGACCUGUGGGAGGUAAAUGAAUCAUGGGGGCGGUUACCCCAUGCUGUUCUUAUGACAGUGAAUGAGUUCUCAUAAGAUCUGAUGGUUUUAUAAGGGGCUUUUCCCCCUUUGCUUGGCACUUCUCUCUCCUGCCACCAUGUGAAGAAGGACAUGUUUGCUUCGCCUUCUGCCAUGAUUGUAAGUUUUCUGAGGCCUUCCCAGCAAAAGCAGAACUCAAUGUUCUAGGUACAAUAUAAUGGAUGCAUGUAAAAUUCAUGUGCUGUCACAGUUCAUACGGAGUAUACAAGCUAGUGUAUACUUGGGUGGGAAGUCCUAAGCACAGAAUCUUUCUCAACCGCUUGAGGUAUCAUCAAAUCAUCUCAGCAUAGUGGCUUUUUUCACAGAAGACACCAGCUCCCCCUUCACCUUCCGCCAUGAUUGUAAGCUUCCUGAGGCUCUCACCAAAAGCAGAUGCCGUCACCAUACUCCCUGUACAGCCUGCAGAACUGUGAGCCAAAUUGAUCUUGUCUUUAUUAAUUGCUUAGCCUCAGGCGUUCCUUUUUAGCAAUGCAAGAACAGACUAACACAUGUCUUUCAGAAUUAUGAUCUAAAUAAACCUAUUUAUUUUAGGUUCUGAAAAAAAUAAAUACAUAGGAAAAUCUAACAAAACAAACCAAGUUAAAUAUUUCAAAGGUCACUUUUUAAUUACUUUACAAAGGGUCCAUUAUGUAAACAAAGCUCUACUCCACAAGUCAUGCUACCUCCCCCAACACCACCACCACUCUGAUUCUAAGAGGAAAUGGCUAAAAUCAUUCAAAGAGUUCUUUACUCUCUGAAUACUAAUGUUAAAUAAUUUUCUGUGUUAUGCAAAGCACACACAUAUGGAUUUAUCCAAGACAUAGAGGCUCUCCACAGAAGUUAAAAGCUGACCUGCAUAAUUCAUCUAAGUUUCACGUCUUUGAGGUGGUGAAUCAUUUCCUUUGCUUUAAAAUAUUUUCCACAUCUCACAUAGGUCCAUUCUCAGUUUAUUUUCUUUUGAAAAUGUUACCAUUCAUUCAUAGCCCGCUACUUUAAAAGCUUUAAUUGUAAUAAUAAACUCUCAGGUUUUUUCUGUCGUCUGACUUCUGUCACAAAGGUACUUAGGCUUUGUACCUCAAACAAGAUGUUAAGAAGUACUGUUCCCCGGAAUAGAAUAGACAUAUUUAGACCUUAUGCGGGGCAGCACGAGGUGGGCGGCACCUUUGGUGAUGCAGUGUGGAGUCUGCAGUAACUGGUGUAAUUGAGGCAGGGCAGAGGUGGCCAGGUGCUGGCUGAGCUGGCUCCUGAAUAUCUGGGCUUGGACUCCAGCAUACGCAGACUUAAGGAAACAUUGCCAGUGAUGGCAAACCACAUGUUGCUUGCUUCUCUUUCUUUAAAAUUGCUUUUCUGAGAAGCCCAGACAAGACUGAGUGUAAAGCAGAUGGCCUGCUCUCCUCAAAGUCACUGGGAAAGGGUCUUUUAAUGGAAAAAGCUACCAGGCAUCAAUUCAGAUAAGUGAGAAGGUCCUUACACCCGUGACAACGCCCUGAGCAGUCCAUGAAGCUCUGCCUCACUCUUUCCAUGACAGCAUGUGGCUACUCUGGGCGCGGGAGAAGGAACAGAAACCCCAGCCUCAAAGAGCGUUUGGGGAACAUCCAAGGAGAGUAACUAGAUCUCUAUAGUAACAAUUUGUUAAUAUGAUGACACUUCAUCAUAAUGCUGUUUUAGACUACAGAUAUUAAGGCAAGGUGUUUUCACAAAGUUCAGUUAAUCCUUGAAUGAUGCAGUCAAAGAUCUGCAUAUAACUUUUGACUCUACAGAAACUUAAUUAGUAAUAGCCUACUGUUGACUAGAAGCCUUACCAAUAACAUAAAUGGCCAAUUUCCACAAAUUUUGUACCAUAUUCUUACAAUAAAGCUACAGAAAAUAUUAUUAAGAAAAUUAUAAGGAAGAAAAGAUAUUUAUUAUUUAUUAAGUGGAAGUGGGUCAUCAUACAUAAAGGUCUUCAUCCUCAUCUUCACAUUGAGUAGGGUGAGGAGAAAGAGGAGGUAGAAGAGGUGGCAUUGGUUUUGCAGACUCGGGGUGGGUGACAGAGGUGGGAGAAAAUGGAAGUAAAUAGGAUCCUCCGCACAGUUCAAAUUCAUGUUGUUCAAGGGUCAACUGUACUUUGGUUUAUUGACUUUAGGGUCUGGCUCACUCAAAAAGUGCUCUAGGUGUUGCCUUUAGUGAGUCCUCCUCCCUUAGAAAUAGUAUAUCAAUAUGCAAAUCUGUAUUACCUUCUGCCUCUGGCUGUUUGAAUAAGGGUAGGCUUUGAGCACCCUCCCCAAACCAACCAUAUGAGGGCAUUGUAGAUGUCACCUAUAAUUCACACCUGUAGUUCAUUAGUAGUUAACACUUAGUUAAACAGCUUUAGGAAAUAAACUGCAUUAUGUCACCACUUAUCUAAAAAAUCACUAAUUUGGUUUUUAAUUCCAUAUGUAUUUUGCACCUGUCACAUACAAAGCACUUUGAUAAUUACUGUGGGAAUAUAUCAAUGGAUCAGACAGGAUUCCUGACUUCAAGAAGCUUAUAGUUCAGUUGGCGAAAUGAUGCACAAUACACAAGACAAACUACUAAAGACACAGACCAAAUGCUGAGAAAGCCAAAAAGGAAGAGUGAUUUACUUCCGUUGGGGUGACUGGAAGUUUCACUAAGGAAAUGUGCUUUAAGCAGGAUGUGAAAGGAUUUGUAGUAUUUGUAGACUCAAUAUUUGCAAUGAAUGUCCCAUUUUUAGCUGCCUCAACCCUCCCUGGAGGCAGACAUUGGAUUUUGCUGUUUUCAUCAAAGGACUGCAAUGCCUGGAGAGAUCUCUAGACUUCUCUAGACUCUAGUGAUAAUAAUAUCCAACAGCAGCUUCCUAGUUAUCUCCGUGAGGGUAUUGGUGUGAGGGUCUAGCCCGCUUCUAUCCUAGGCAUUGGUGCCUGAAGCUGAGGCUGGCAGGGGAAAGGAGCCCUGCCCUAUGUUCCUGAUGGCCAGCUGAGGCCUACAUUCCUAUGUCAUUCCUGUUCAGCUCAUUCUCCAGGCACUCCCCACUAUUGUGCUUCUCACGCCAUCCCAGACAUCUCAAGCUGACUUCCCUCAAUGACAAAACUCUGUAUCUGAUGUCCCCACAUCUUUGUUUUGUUUUUCUAAAGCUCUACCUUGCUUUGUCCCUAAUAACAAUAUAGCAGGGCUUUUCAAAUUAUGUCAUUUCAUUCAACAUUGUUUUGUUAUAAUAUUGAUAAGAAAAAAGACUGAUUCCUGGCCAGGGCCACUGUCUGUGUGGAGCUUGCACGUUCUCCCCAUGUCUUUGUGGGUUGUCUUCGGGUACUCUGGUUUCCUCCCAUACUUCAAAGAUGUGCAUGUUAGAUUCACUGGUGUGUUUAAAUGGUCACAGUCUCAGUGAGUGUCAGUGUGUGAAUGCACCCUGUGAUGGAAUGGUGCCUUAUCCAGGGUUGGUUCCCACCUGGUACCCUAAGCUGUUGCCAACCCUGAACUGGAAAUAAGCAGGAAAAUAAUUACCUUACAUGUUUAAUAUUAAAAGUGUUUUGAUCUUUAUUUAGAUGUUUGGUGAUAGUUCUGUGACCAGAAAUACGGUGUAGGAAGUUGACUUUUUUAUUUUAGAGAGAGGGUCUCACUAUGUUGCCUGGGCUGGUCUCAAAUUCCUGUGCUCAAGUGAUCCUUCUGUCUCAGCCUUCCAAAGUGCUGGGAUUACAGGCAUGAGCCAC